rnacentral:rRNA from 1 species
AUGCACGCUGGCGGCGUGCCUCAUACCUGCAAGUCGAGCGAACAGACGAGGAGCUUGCUCCUCUGACGUUAGCGGCGGACGGGUGAGUAACACGUGGAUAACCUACCUAUAAGACUGGGAUAACUUCGGGAAACCGGAGCUAAUACCGGAUAAUAUAUUGAACCGCAUGGUUCAAUAGUGAAAGACGGUUUUGCUGUCACUUAUAGAUGGAUCCGCGCCGCAUUAGCUAGUUGGUAAGGUAACGGCUUACCAAGGCAAUGAUGCGUAGCCGACCUGAGAGGGUGAUCGGCCACACUGGAACUGAGACACGGUCCAGACUCCUACGGGAGGCAGCAGUAGGGAAUCUUCCGCAAUGGGCGAAAGCCUGACGGAGCAACGCCGCGUGAGUGAUGAAGGUCUUCGGAUCGUAAAACUCUGUUAUUAGGGAAGAACAAAUGUGUAAGUAACUAUGCACGUCUUGACGGUACCUAAUCAGAAAGCCACGGCUAACUACGUG